CCCUUAGAUGUCCUGGGCUGCACGCGCGCUACACUGGAAGUUACGGAUUGAGAUACUACCUUGUCCGAAAUGGUCCGGGUAAUCACCUAAAAGCUUGUCAUAAUUGGAAUGGAUUAUUGUAACUAGUAAUCCUGAACGAGGAAUUCCUAGUAAGUCCCAGUCAACAGCUGGUACUGAUUACGUCCCUGCCCUUUGUACACACCGCCCGUCGCUACUACUGGUUGGACGUUUAAGCAAGAUUUUUAAACACUGACAGUGUGUAGUUCACGCUAUACUACAGUGAGAAGAAGAAGAUCGAGCUUACUUGUCUAGAGGAAGUAAAAGUCGUAACA
rnacentral:rRNA from 1 species